AUUGAACGCUGGCGGCAGGCCUAACACAUGCAAGUCGAGCGAGCGGCGGACGGGUGAGGAAUGUCUGGGACACUGCCUGAUGGAGGGGGAUAACUACUGGAAACGGUAGCUAAUACCGCAUACCAUCAGAUGUGCCCAGAUGGGAUUGGCUAGUAGGUGGGGUAACGGCGCACCUAGGCGACGAUCCCUAGCUGGUCUGCGAGGCUUACCAGCCACACUGGAGCUGAGUCACGGUCCAGACUCCUACGGGAGGCAGAAGUGGAGAAUAUUGCACAAUGGGCGCAAGCCUGAUGCAGCCAUGCCGCGUGUAUGAAGAAGGCCUUCGGGUUGUAAAGUACUUUCAGCGGUGAGGCGUUACCCGCAGAAGAAGCACCGGCUAACUCCGUGCCAGCCGCCGCGGUAAUAC
rnacentral:rRNA from 1 species